rnacentral:rRNA from 1 species
GACGAACGCUGGCGGCGUGCUUAACACAUGCAAGUCGAGCGGUAAGGCCCUUUCGGGGGUACACGAGCGGCGAACGGGUGAGUAACACGUGGGUGACCUGCCCUCAGCUCUGGGAUAAGCCUGGGAAACCGGGUCUAAUACUGGAUAUGACUCCAUGACGCAUGUUGUGGGGUGGAAAGCCUUGUGCGGCUGAGGAUGGGCCCGCGGCCUAUCAGCUUGUUGGUGGGGUGANGGCCUACCAAGGCGACGACGGGUAGCCGGCCUGAGAGGGCGACCGGCCACACUGGGACUGAGACACGGCCCAGACUCCUACGGGAGGCAGCAGUGGGGAAUCUUGCGCAAUGGGCGAAAAGCCUGACGCAGCGACGCCGCGUGAGGGAUGACGGCCUCGGU